GAUGAACGCUGGCGGCGUGCCUAAUACAUGCCAGUCGAGCGAACAGAUAAGGAGCUUGCUCCUUUGACGUUAGCGGCGGACGGGUGAGUAACACGUGGGUAACCUACCUAUAAGACUCGGAUAACUUCGGGAAACCGGAGCUAAUACCGGAUAAUAUUUCGAACCGCAUGGUUCGAUAGUGAAAGAUGGUUUUGCUAUCACUUAUAGAUGGACCCGCGCCGUAUUAGCUAGUUGGUAAGGUAACGGCUUACCAAGGCGACGAUACGUAGCCGACCUGAGAGGGUGAUCGGCCACACUGGAACUGAGACACGGUCCAGACUCCUACGGGAGGCAGCAGUAGGGAAUCUUCCGCAAUGGGCGAAAGCCUGACGGAGCAACGCCGCGUGAGUGAUGAAGGUCUUCGGAUCGUAAAACUCUGUUAUUAGGGAAGAACAUACGUGUAAGUAACUGUGCACGUCUUGACGGUACCUAAUCAGAAAGCCACGGCUAACUACGUG
rnacentral:rRNA from 1 species